UUUUGACUGCUCCACAUUUCUUCUACAUUGCAUCCCUUGCCAGUAAUUGUCAGAAUCUGCCCUUUGCAAUUCAGGGAAGGCUUUGGAGACUGAUGGUUUUUUCCUGCUAAAAACUCAAGGGACAGGGAAAGCCUUUUGUAUCUAGCAGGGUCCUGUGUAGUCCUAACUGGUUACAGAAUUACAAGAAAUGAAAAAGAAGUGUGUUCAAUUGUGACUAAACCAGUAACCUCACUUUUUAAAAAAACACGCUAUUUGUCCUUUACAAAGGAAGUCUACAUGAUAGCAAGCAGGUUGACUAAUGGAGAGAUAGAAAAUUGUAUUCCAUUAGGAGAAUAUUUUCUCCAGACUUCUAGGAUUUAGCAAUUUGGAGAACGGUUUUAAUCCAUGAACGCUUCCAGUUUUGUCCUUGAACCUUCACCUAAGCCAGGUAUAGAGACGGCCUAAGACCAGCAGUGUGGAGACACACCUCAUCUGGGGCCUUUGAGAACCAUGACUCUGGGACACACGUUUAUCCCAUAUUCCUACUCUGCAGCAGGAACCUGAGAGCUCUGUUCAGAGUCACAGGGAGCGCGCGGAGGAUGGGAAGUGUAGUCUUUCUCCGCCCUACAGCGCUCCUGGUCUCCGCGGGCUCCCUCUGCGCAUGUGCAGCCUUGGUCCCUCUUCUUCCCGUCCGCAUUUGCAGCUCAAUCGUCACUGUCCUCUACUCUCCCAAGACCCACUGAAAAUGAACGUAUCUGAGACAUCAGUGUCAUUCAAGGAUGUGAGUGUGAAGUUUACCUGGAAGGAGUGGCAGCAUGUGAAUCCUGCUCAGAGGACCCUGUACAGAGAUGUGAUGCUGGAGAACCAUAGCCACCUUGUCUCACUGGGUGAGCCUACUUUAUUAUAGGACUCUGACUUGGGAGCAGUUGAUCUUCUGUUCCUGCUUUUUUUUUAAAGUAAAUUACCUGUAUUGAGGAGUAAUUGACAGAAAAGAAAAUUUAACACAUUUCUGUGUAUAAUAGAAUGAAUUCUGGAAAAUAUGUACAGCUAUGCCACCAAAAUCACAAUACAGAUUAUUUCUGUCAUGUGAAAGUUUUCGUUGGCUGUUCUCUGUCCUCUCUUGACACCUAUUUUCUAAUAAUCACUGAUCCUCUUUUUGUUUCAAUACUUUCUCCCCCCCUCCACUUUUUUUUCCUAAAAGAUUGUGCCAAGUCUUAAUUGUGGCACACCGGAUCUUUAGUUGCUGCAUGUGGUAUCUAGUUCCCUGACCAGGGAUGAAGCCUGGGCACCCUGCGUUGGGAGUGUGUUGUCUUAGCCACUUGACCACCAGGGACAUUCCCUACUUUUCCCUUUUUUGGAAAUUCAUAUAAAUGGAAUCAUACUUUAUAUACUGUCUGUAUGACUUCUUUCUCCUUGUAUAAUUCUUUGGUCUGACUGUUGGUGUUGUUUUAUCUGUAUUUAUUCCCUUUAUUGAAGAGUAAUGUAUUUUUAAUUAUAGCUGUUGAGAUCCUUUUUAGUUUGAUGCUAAUCAUAGUUAAAUGUGCUGUGAAUAUUUGCAUCUACAUCGUGUGAGGCCAUAUUUUUAUUCCCUUGUGAAAAGACCCUCGGGUGGUUUCCUGGGUCUCAUGAAAUAAUUAUACCUGUAGGAAUGCCUGGUUUUAUUUAGCUUUACUUUAUUAGGCUUCCCAGCCGAGAAUGUUUUUUACAAAUGGGAAGUUUGUGUCAAUCCCCUGGGUCGGACCACAUAUCUGUAUUUGAACAGCGUUUGCUCACUCUGUGUCUCUGUGUCACAUUUUGGAAAUUCUCAUAACAUUUCAAACUCUUUCAUUGUUAUAUUUGGUAUGGUGAUCUGUGAUCGUUGAUGUUAUAUUGUAAUUGUUUUGGGGCACCAUGAGUUGCACUCAUAUGAGAUGGUGAACUUAAUUAGUAAAUAUUGUGUGUGUUCAGAUUUCCCCUGUGACUGGCCAUUCCCCAGUCUCUUUCUCUUCAGGCAGGCCUUCUAUUCCCUGAGACACAGUAAUAUUGAAACUGGGCUAAUUAAUAACUGUACAAUGGCAUAUAGCUGUUCAAGUGAAAGGAAGAGUUACAUGAUACUUUAAAUAAGUCAGAAAUUAUUAGUAAGGAAGUUAUGCUCAAAGGUGAGAUAAUACUGAGAAAACUAGGCCUAUUACACCAGUUAGCCAACUUAUGAAUGCAAAAUUUUGAGGGAAAAUGAAAGUGCCAACUCCAGUGAACACAUGAAUGAUAAGAAAGUGAAACAACUUGAUUGCUGAUAUGGAGACUAUUUCAAUGUUCUGAAAAGCAGAUCAAACCAUCCACAACAUUCAGUUAAGUCCUUGGCAAGGUCCUAAGUGUCUUCAAUUCUAUGAAGGCUGAGAGAGGCAAGGAACCUACAAGGGAAGAGUUUGAAUCUACUAUAGGUUGAUUCAUGAGGGUUAAGGAAGGAAGCCAUCUCUAUAAGAUGAAUGUGUAAGGGGGAACAGCAAGGGCUGACAAAAAAGCUGCAGGAAGUUAUUAUCCAGAAGAUCUACUAUAGCUUAGAUGAUUAAUGCAGGUGGCCACACUUCACAAGAGUUUCAGAAUAGGUGAAAUACUUCUCUCUUGGAAGAAGAUAACCAUGCAGGACUUUCAUAGGUAGAUAAUGGGUAGACAGAUGUCCAUGCUUAGCUUCAAAGCACACGCUAACUCUCUUGUUAGGGGCUAGUGCAGCUGGUGACUUUAAGUUGAAGCCAGUGCUCAUUUGCCAUUCUGAAAAUUCUAGCGCCCUUAGGAAUUGUGCUAAAUCUUCUUUGCCUGAGCUUCAUAAAUCAACAACAAAGCCUGGGUGAUGGUACAUAGGUUGAUUUGGCAGGGUUUGAGAGGAUUCAGUAAUUUUGAAAGAGAUUUUAGAGUUAUUGAAAAAUGCUGUCAAUUUGUGUUGCAUUUUAUGGAGAAAUCCUGACAGGAGUUAAUUGGUGUGACAAGCUUCAUUGUUGUCUUUAAAGAAAUUGCCAUAACCAUUCCAUCCUUUAGUAGCCAUCACCAUUAAUACUCAGCAGAUGUCAACAUUGACACAGGAUCCUCCAGCAGCAAAGUUAUCAGGCACAAAAUGCUCAGAGGAUUGUUAAUAAUAUUUUAACAAUGAGGUGUUUUGUAAUUAAGGAAUAUAUAAUUUUUUUAGACAUAAUGCUGCUGUACAUAAUUAGGCUUCCCUGCGUUUAAACACAACUUUCUUAUGUAUUAGGAAGGCAAACAGUUUGUGAUUCAAUUGUGAUAUUCACUUUAUUGCAGGAACCACACCUGUAGUAUCUUUUAAGAUCUGCCUGUAUAUGAAGGAAAAAAAAAAAGCAAUUGACAGAUUUGUUUAAAGUACAUGUGUCAUUUAUGUGGGCAUUAGCAACAUAUAGUAGUUCUGCUUGCUCCAUGUGUACACCCUCAUUUUGUGUUGUAAACCUGAUGAGUUUUGAUCCUUUUAUUGGGUGUCUGUUGUAUAUACUUGGUUUCAUUUCUCUUUGACGAUGAUGAACAACUUUCCUAUGCUGGUUGGCCAUUCACAUAGCUUUUAAAAAGGUAUGUUCAGAUUCUUACCAUUUGUUUUGUUUGAGUUUUUUGUCUAGUAAUUCAAAAUAUACUUCUUUAUGUAAUCUUGAUGACUUUUAUAAGAUGCACCUUUUGGAAAUUUUUUCUUUUAAUCUAUGGUUGACCAUUUUGUUUGCUAAACAGUUGGGCAAAAUAUUUUCAUGUUGUGAUGAGGUUCAGUGUAUCAUUUGCUUCAGUUUCUGUUCCAUUCCCCCCAUCCCUCUACUUAAUAAAUUGCCUAAGCAAAGGUCA